CCGACCUUAGCUCAGCUGGAAGAGCGUGAGACUGUAACGGCUACGUAUUAUCUCAAUGUCGCCUGUUCGAGCCAGGCAGGUCGGA